rnacentral:rRNA from 1 species
GAUGAACGCUGGCGGCGUGCCUAAUACAUGCAAGUCGAGCGAACGGACGAGAAGCUUGCUUCUCUGAUGUUAGCGGCGGACGGGUGAGUAACACGUGGAUAACCUACCUAUAAGACUGGGAUAACUUCGGGAAACCGGAGCUAAUACCGGAUAAUAUUUUGAACCGCAUGGUUCAAAAGUGAAAGACGGUCUUGCUGUCACUUAUAGAUGGAUCCGCGCUGCAUUAGCUAGUUGGUAAGGUAACGGCUUACCAAGGCAACGAUGCAUAGCCGACCUGAGAGGGUGAUCGGCCACACUGGAACUGAGACACGGUCCAGACUCCUACGGGAGGCAGCAGUAGGGAAUCUUCCGCAAUGGGCGAAAGCCUGACGGAGCAACGCCGCGUGAGUGAUGAAGGUCUUCGGAUCGUAAAACUCUGUUAUUAGGGAAGAACAUAUGUGUAAGUAACUGUGCACAUCUUGACGGUACCUAAUCAGAAAGCCACGGCUAACUACGUGCCAGCAGCCGCGGUAAUACGUAGGUGGCAAGCGUUAUCCGGAAUUAUUGGGCGUAAAGCGCGCGUAGGCGGUUUUUUAAGUCUGAUGUGAAAGCCCACGGCUCAACCGUGGAGGGUCAUUGGAAACUGGAAAACUUGAGUGCAGAAGAGGAAAGUGGAAUUCCAUGUGUAGCGGUGAAAUGCGCAGAGAUAUGGAGGAACACCAGUGGCGAAGGCGACUUUCUGGUCUGUAACUGACGCUGAUGUGCGAAAGCGUGGGGAUCAAACAGGAUUAGAUACCCUGGUAGUCCACGCCGUAAACGAUGAGUGCUAAGUGUUAGGGGGUUUCCGCCCCUUAGUGCUGCAGCUAACGCAUUAAGCACUCCGCCUGGGGAGUACGACCGCAAGGUUGAAACUCAAAGGAAUUGACGGGGACCCGCACAAGCGGUGGAGCAUGUGGUUUAAUUCGAAGCAACGCGAAGAACCUUACCAAAUCUUGACAUCCUUUGACAACUCUAGAGAUAGAGCUUUCCCCUUCGGGGGACAAAGUGACAGGUGGUGCAUGGUUGUCGUCAGCUCGUGUCGUGAGAUGUUGGGUUAAGUCCCGCAACGAGCGCAACCCUUAAGCUUAGUUGCCAUCAUUAAGUUGGGCACUCUAAGUUGACUGCCGGUGACAAACCGGAGGAAGGUGGGGAUGACGUCAAAUCAUCAUGCCCCUUAUGAUUUAGGCUACACACGUGCUACAAUGGACAAUACAAAGGGCAGCGAAACCGUGAGGUCAAGCAAAUCCCAUAAAGUUGUUCUCAGUUCGGAUUGUAGUCUGCAACUCGACUACAUGAAGCUGGAAUCGCUAGUAAUCGUAGAUCAGCAUGCUACGGUGAAUACGUUCCCGGGUCU